GCCUAGCCGUAACAAAACAAUUAAAUAACCAAUUGUUCGCCAAAUAACUACGAGUAAAAACUUAAAAUUUAAAAGACUUGACGGUACUUCACACCAACCUAGAGGAGCCUGUCUAAUAACCGACAAUCCACGAUUAACCCAACCCGCUCUAGCCUAACAGUCUAUAUACCGCCGUCGCCAGCUUACCUUGUGAAAGAAAUAAAGUAAGCCCAAUAAUACCCCUAUUAACACACAGGUCGAGGUGUAACCAAUGAGGGGGUCAAAGAUGGGCUACAUUUUCUUUACUCAGAAAACACGAAUAAACUAUGAAACUAGAAACUGAAGGAGGAUUUAGCAGUAAGCCAAGAACAGAAUACUUAGCCGAAACCAACGCAAUGAAGUGCGCACACACCGCCCGUCAUCCCUGUAAAACACACCAAACAUUCAUAAACACCCAUUACCACUAAAACAGGGCAAGUCGUAACACGGUAAGCGUACUGGAAAGUGCGCUUAGAAACAAAAAGUAGCUUACACUAAAGCACUCGACCUACAAUCGAACGACAUUGACAAUAAUCUUUUUGAGCUAAAAGCAUAACAAUAAACACAAAUAUCCAUCACACACAAAACAAACCAUUUGACCCA
rnacentral:rRNA from 1 species